rnacentral:rRNA from 1 species
AGUGAACGCUGGCGGUAGGCCUAACACAUGCAAGUCGAGCGGCAGCACAGUAAGAGCUUGCUCUUACGGGUGGCGAGUGGCGGACGGGUGAGGAAUACAUCGGAAUCUACUUUUUCGUGGGGGAUAACGUAGGGAAACUUACGCUAAUACCGCAUACGACCUACGGGUGAAAGCAGGGGAUCUUCGGACCUUGCGCGAUUGAAUGAGCCGAUGUCGGAUUAGCUAGUUGGCGGGGUAAAGGCCCACCAAGGCGACGAUCCGUAGCUGGUCUGAGAGGAUGAUCAGCCACACUGGAACUGAGACACGGUCCAGACUCCUACGGGAGGCAGCAGUGGGGAAUAUUGGACAAUGGGCGCAAGCCUGAUCCAGCCAUACCGCGUGGGUGAAGAAGGCCUUCGGGUUGUAAAGCCCUUUUGUUGGGAAAGAAAAGCAGCAGGUUAAUACCCCGCUGUUCUGACGGUACCCAAAGAAUAAGCACGGGCUAACUUCGUG